UACGAACUGUGCAAGCGUUAUUCGGAAUUACUGGGCGUAAAGGGUGCGCAGGCGGCAGUGCAAGUCGAGUGUGAAAGCCCCGGGCUCAACCUGGGAACUGCAUCCAAAACUGGCAAGCUAGAGUACGGUAGAGGGUGGUGGAAUUUCCUGUGUAGCGGUGAAAUGCGUAGAUAUAGGAAGGAACACCAGUGGCGAAGGCGACCACCUGGACUGAUACUGACGCUGAGGUGCGAAAGCGUGGGGAGCAAACAGG
rnacentral:rRNA from 1 species